rnacentral:rRNA from 1 species
CCUACGGGGGACAGCAGUGAGGAAUAUUGGUCAAUGGCCGGAAGGCUGAACCAGCCAAGCCGCGUGAAGGACGAAGGUGCCAAUCAUUGUAAACUUCUUUUGUCAAGGGACAAAAUCAGGCUCGAGAGCCUGACCGAGGGUACUUGAAGAAAAAGCAUCAGCUAACUCCGUGCCAUCCUCCGCGGUAAUACGGAGAAUGCGAGCGUUAUCCGGAUUUAUUGGGUUUAAAGGGUGCGUAGGCGGGCUGUUAAGUCAGCGGUAAAAGCCCGGGGCUCAACCCCGGCGAGCCGGUGAAACUGGCUGUCUGGAGAUGUCGAGAGGUAUGCGGAAUGCGCAGUGUAGCGGUGAAAUGCUUAGAUAUUGCGCAGAACUCCGAUUGCGAAGGCAGCAUACCGGCGGCGAUCUGACGCUGAGGCACGAAAGCGUGGGUAUCGAACAGGAUUAGAUACCCGGGUAGUC